AAAAUUGGCUAAGUGGGAAACGAAGUGGGAAGGCUAAAACAGUCAGGAUGUUGGCUUAGAAGCAGCCAUCAUUUAAAGAAAGCGUAAUAGCUCACUGAUCGAGUCGUCCUGCGCGGAAGAUGUAACGGGGCUAAGCCAGUUACCGAAGCUGCGGAUUUGCAAUUUAUUGCAAGUGGUAGGAGAGCGUUCUGUAAGCCUGUGAAGGUGCGUUGUAAAGCGUGCUGGAGGUAUCAGAAGUGCGAAUGCUGACAUGAGUAGCGUUAAAGGGGGUGAAAAGCCCCCUCGCCGUAAGCGCAAGGUUUUCUACGCAACGUUCAUCGGCGUAGAGUGAGUCGGCCCCUAAGGCGAGGCAGAGAUGCGUAGCUGAUGGGAAACAGGUCA
rnacentral:rRNA from 1 species